CUGGUUACUGUUGGCUUGCCAACUUUACCCACCCCCUGUUUAUACCUCCUGUUGCUUCAUGGGAUGAGAGAGCCUGAUCAACUCUUCUCCUAGACUAUUGUCUAGCAAGCCCAUGAACUAUUCGAAAACCAUACUAUUCAUGAUGUCUGAGUAAUGAGAAAUGAAACA
rnacentral:misc_RNA from 1 species